ACCAAGGCAGCGACGCGUAGCGGGACUGAGAGGUUGGCCCGCCACAUCGGGACUGAGACACUGCCCGGACCUCCACGGAGGGCUGCAGUAACGAAUAUUGGGCAAUGGGCGAAAGCCUGACCCAGCAAUGCCGCGUGUAGGAAGAAGUCUUUCGGGAUGUAAACUACUGUCAGGGUGAAGAAAGGUAGCCUUCGGGCUAUUUGAUCGAUCCCAGAGGAAGGUCCGGCUAACUUCGUGCCAGCAGCCGCGGUAAUACGAAGGGACCAAGCGUUGUUCGGAAUUAUUGGGCUUAAAGAGCACGUAGGCGGAUAGGUAAGUGUUUUGUGAAAUCCCUCGGCUCAACCGAGGAACUGCUUGACAUACUGCCUAUCUUGAGGCAAGUAGGGGUGCAUGGAACUCUAGGUGGAGCGGUGAAAUGCGUAGAUAUCUAGAGGAACGCCAGUGGAGAGAUCGGUGCACUGGGCUUGUCCUGACGCUGAGGUGCGAAAGCGUGGGUAGCGAACGGGAUUAGAUACCCCGGUAGUCCACGCCGUAAACGAUGUCUACUAGGUCGUGGUGGUACUGACACCGUCGCGGCCGGAGCAAAAGUGUUAAGUAGACCGCCUGGGGAGUACGGUCGCAAGGCUAAAACUCAAAGGAAUUGACGGGGGCUCACACAAGCGGUGGAGCAUGUGGCUUAAUUCGAAACAACGCGAAGAACCUUAUCCUGGGUUUGACAUGCUUGGAUGCCCAUCUGGAAACAGAGUAGGCUGCCCUUCGGGGUGAAACUUGCACAGGUGCUGCAUGGCUGUCGUCAGCUCGUGUCGUGAGAUGUUGGGUUAAGUCCCGUAACGAGCGAAACCCUUAUCGUUAGUUGCCAGCGCGUAAUGGCGGGAACUCUAACGAGACUGCCGGUGUUAAACCGGAGGAAGGUGGGGAUGACGUCAAGUCCUCAUGGCCUUUAUGCCCAGGGCUGCACACGUGCUACAAUGGCGGCGACAAACUGAUGCAAGACCGCAAGGUGGAGCAAAUCGGAGAAACAUCGCCUCAGUUCGGAUUGCAGGCUGCAACUCGCCUGCAUGAAGUUGGAAUCGCUAGUAAUCGCGGAUCAGCAUGCCGCGGUGAAUAUGUUCCUGAGCCUUGUACACACCGCCCGUCAAGUCAUGGAAGCUGGAAGUACCUGAAGUCGGAUAGCUAACUUUUUAAGAGGCGUCUGCCGAUGGUAAGUUCGGUGACUAGGGCUAAGUCGGAACAAGGUA
rnacentral:rRNA from 1 species